UGUGUACUCCCUCCGUUCCAAAAUACUUGACUUCCAUUUGUCCAAAAAUGGAUGUGCCUAUAUACUAAAACAUGUCUAGAUACAUAUAUAUUUUGACAAGUAGAAGGCAUGUAUUGUGCAACGGAGGGAGUAGAAU
rnacentral:pre_miRNA from 1 species